CAUUCCUCUAUCUACUAGACGGAGAAGAACGAACGAGAGGUGAGAAACAUACAAAAGAAGUUCGAGAGUCUCAGCAUAAAAAUUGAUAAAGCCUACGAGCGCCGUGACACUACACAACAAGGGAGCACCAUGUCCACUAUGAUGAUCAAGGGCUUUACUGAUGAAGAGGUUCGAAAGUUUGAAUCAUCAACACCAUGGGAGGAUGGUCAGACUUACGUUCCAGAAGAACUUGAUACUGAGUUGUAAAUUACCAAAAAUUAUUAAUUCCGCG